rnacentral:rRNA from 1 species
CCUACGGGAGGCAGCAGUAGGGAAUCUUUCACAAUGGGCGAAAGCCUGAUGGAGCAACGCCGCGUGCAGGCUGAAGGCCUUCGGGUUGUAAACUGCUUUUAUAAGCGAGAAAUAUGAUGGUAACUUAUGAAUAAGGAUCGGCUAACUACGUGCCAGCAGCCGCGGUCAUACGUAGGAUCCGAGCAUUAUCCGGAGUGACUGGGUGUAAAGAGUUGCGUAGGUGGCAUAAUAAGUAGCUAGUGAAAUCUGGUGGCUCAACCAUUCAGACUAUUAGCUAAACUGUUAAGCUCGAGACCGUUAGGGGUAACUGGAAUGUCUAGUGUAGGAGUGAAAUCCGUAGAUAUUAGAAGGAACACCAAUAGCGUAGGCAGGUUGCUGGGACGGUUCUGACACUAAGGCACGAAAGCGUAGGGAGCAAACGGGAUUAGAUACCCUUGUAGUC